CCGACCCAAGGAGGGUGAACUCUGCAACAGGGAGGAGAGGAAUCUGCGCCUAGACUGACUCGCACUCGCUGUCUGUUCCACAGACACGCCAGCCAGCUGGGACAGGCGGCCUGCAGGACUCGGGCAUAUUGCAGAUGGUUUGAUGCACUGAUGGUGCCAGGUGGCCGCAAGGCGGCCUCCUGGCGAAGUCUGUUUAGUAUGUAGACCAGGCUCUUGGCAGACGCCACCGA